rnacentral:rRNA from 1 species
UACGUAGGGGGCAAGCGUUAUCCGGAUUUACUGGGUGUAAAGGGAGCGCAGACGGAUCAUCAAGUCUGAUGUGAAAACCCGGGGCUCAACCCCGGGACUGCAUUGGAAACUGGAGAUCUGGAGUGUCGGAGAGGUAAGCGGAAUUCCUAGUGUAGCGGUGAAAUGCGUAGAUAUUAGGAGGAACACCGGUGGCGAAGGCGGCUUACUGGACGAUAACUGACGUUGAGGCUCGAAAGCGUGGGGAGCAAAC